AUUGAACGCUGGCGGCAGGCUUAACACAUGCAAGUCGAGCGAGAGGCGGACGGGUGAGUAAUGUCUGGGAAACUACCUUAUGGUGGGGGAUAACUAAUGGAAACUGAAGCUAAUACCGCCUACCAUGAAAUGUGCCGAUGUGGGAUUAGCUAGUUGGCGGGGUAAUGGCCCACCAAGGCGACGAUCCGUAGCUGGUCUGAGAGGAUGAACAUCCACACUGGAACUGUGACACGGUCCAGACUCCUACGGGAGGCAGCAGUGGGGAAGAUUGGACAAUGGGCGCAAGCCUGAUCCAGCCAUAGCGCGUGUGUGAAGAAGGCCUUCGGGUUGUAAAGCACUUUUGGCGAGGAGGCGGUACCCAAAGAAGAAGCACCGGCUAACUCCGUGCCAGCAGCCGCGGUAAUAC
rnacentral:rRNA from 1 species